CCCUUCGGGGUUAGUGGCGCACGGGUGCGUAACGCGUGGGAAUCUGCCCUUUGCUUCGGAAUAACAGUUAGAAAUGACUGCUAAUACCGGAUGAUGUCUUCGGACCAAAGAUUUAUCGGCAAAGGAUGAGCCCGCGUAGGAUUAGCUUGUUGGUGAGGUAAAGGCUCACCAAGGCGACGAUCCUUAGCUGGUCUGAGAGGAUGAUCAGCCACACUGGGACUGAGACACGGCCCAGACUCCUACGGGAGGCAGCAGUGGGGAAUAUUGGACAAUGGGCGAAAGCCUGAUCCAGCAAUGCCGCGUGAGUGAUGAAGGCCUUAGGGUUGUAAAGCUCUUUUACCAGGGAUGAUAAUGACAGUACCUGGAGAAUAAGCUCCGGCUAACUCCGUGCCAGCCGCCGCGGUAAU
rnacentral:rRNA from 1 species